UGGGGAAUAUUGCACAAUGGGCGCAAGCCUGAUGCAGCGACGCCGCGUGGAGGAUGAAGGCUUUCGAGUUGUAAACUCCUGUUAAGUGGGAAGAAAGACUGUUGACUAAUAAUCAGCAGGGAUGACGGUACCACUAGAGAAAGCACCGGCAAACUUCGUGCCAGCAGCCGCGGAAAUACGAAGGGUGCAAGCGUUAUUCGGAGUUACUGGGCGUAAAGAGUAUGUAGGCGGUUUGUUAAGUUAGUUGUUAAAGACCACGGCUCAACCGUGGAAAGGCAGCUGAUACUGAUGGGCUAGAGCGCAGAAGAGAGGAGUGGAAUUCCCGGAGUAGCGGUAAAAUGCUUAGAUCUCGGGAGGAACACCGGUUGCGAAGGCGGCUUCUUGGUCUGUGGCUGACGCUAAAGUACGAAAGCGUGGGGAGCAAACA
rnacentral:rRNA from 1 species